rnacentral:rRNA from 1 species
GGGUAGUUUGACUGGGGCGGUCUCCUCCCAAAGAGUAACGGAGGAGCACGAAGGUUAGCUAAUCACGGUCGGACAUCGUGAGGUUAGUGCAAAGGCAUAAGCUAGCUUGACUGCGAGAGUGACGGCUCGAGCAGGUACGAAAGUAGGUCUUAGUGAUCCGGUGGUUCUGAAUGGAAGGGCCAUCGCUCAACGGAUAAAAGGUACUCCGGGGAUAACAGGCUGAUACCGCCCAAGAGUUCAUAUCGACGGCGGUGUUUGGCACCUCGAUGUCGGCUCAUCACAUCCUGGGGCUGAAGUAGGUCCCAAGGGUAUGGCUGUUCGCCAUUUAAAGUGGUACGCGAGCUGGGUUUAGAACGUCGUGAGACAGUUCGGUCCCUAUCUGCCGUGGGCGUUGGAAGAUUGAGAGGGGUUGCUCCUAGUACGAGAGGACCGGAGUGAACGCACCACUGGUGUUCGGGUUGUCAUGCCAAUGGCAUUGCCCGGUAGCUAAGUGCGGAAAAGAUAAGCGCUGAAAGCAUCUAAGCGCGAAACUUGCCUCAAGAUGAGUCUUCCCUUGGACUUUGAGUCCACUGAAGGAACGUUUAAGACUAAGACGUUGAUAGGCUGGGUGUGUAAGUGCAGCGAUGCAUUGAGCUAACCAGUACUAAUGAUCCGUGAGGCUUAACCUUACAACACCGAAGGUGUUUUAG